rnacentral:tRNA from 1 species
GGAGAGUAGAGCUCAGUGGUAGAGCACAUGCUUAGCACGCACGAGGUCCUUAGUUCAAUCCCCAGAACCUCCA